rnacentral:lncRNA from 10 species
UCUCCCUGUGUUGCCCAGGCUGGUCUUGAAUUCCUGGGCUUAAGCAAUACUCCCGCCUCCGCCUCCAAAAGUGCUCGGAUUACUGGUGUUUGCCGCCAAGCCUGACUAGCUCUGGUUUUAAAGACAACACAAACGAAGCCGAAGACAGAGGACUCUUUCAGAGCAAAUUUUUUUGAGCAAGGAGGAAAGCACAAAGGAAGCUGGUCUCAACCUGAGAAAACCAAUUCACCCUUUGUAAAACCCUCCCUACACCCCCACAAGUGAGAAAAUUUCAUCAGUCCCUGAAGUGCAGAAAGUAGACCCUUCCCAUCUGUAGCCAAAAUGUGGUGCGACUGUUUAAUCCAGAUACGAAUUUUGGAGAACAUUGUAAACCCAGCAGGGGCGUAAGGGAGAGUAGGGAGAAGUUUGUCCCUAAUGUACAGGUUAUGUUCUUACUAUACUAGAAAGGCAAGUGGCUGGGAACUGAAAUGAGCUGAGGAGUGGACGCAAGGGAAGGCUUUGAAAAGGAAGGAAGGGCUCUUGGAGCCGGGAGGGAUAACACUGAGUGGAGGAGAGAAGAAGCAGCGGAGAAGAAGGCAGAAGAAAAAUCGGGGACGCGUCUUUAAAGACGGAUAGUAUUGAGACAAGCGUGGAGGAAGAAAGCAGCCAAGCGCCGCGUCUCUGCCAAGCUUUCUCUAGGCCCUGGGGAAGAGAGAAGGCUCUAGAUAUAACACAAAGCCAUUGAAAUUCAGCCUUUUCCUGCCUAAAACGCUUCAUAAUUGUUGUUUGCUCAGUCGGAAUAUCAAAGGGCUGUACUCUUCUAUCAAGAGUAAC